UACGGAGGAUGCAAGCGUUAUCCGGAAUGAUUGGGCGUAAAGCGUCCGCAGGUGGCAUUGUAAGUCUGCUGUUAAAGAGUGAGGCUUAGCCUCAUAAAAGCAGUGGAAACUACAAAGCUAGAGUGCGUUCGGGGCAGAAGGAAUUCCUGGUGUAGCGGUGAAAUGCGUAGAGAUCGGGAAGAACACCGGUGGCGAAGGCGUUCUGCUAGGCCGCAACUGACACUGAGGGACGAAAGCUAGGGGAGCGAGU
rnacentral:rRNA from 1 species